rnacentral:lncRNA from 1 species
CAUCCAUGAGUUACACCCUUCCACAGAAGUAAAAUUUGCCUUGCUGAGGAAAUUAAAUUUAUGUUUGAGUGCUAUUUCUUUUGCAGCACUGAAAAUUUAUUUCUAACAGUAGCCUCUAAUGCAUUUCACAAAUAGAAGGUAAUAUUACCACUAUUGGAUUAGAGUUUUCCCCUCAUUUCCUCCAUUUUCCUUGUUUCUUCCAUUUUCUAUAAGGAUUUUUUAAAAACAGUCUUAAGCAAAGUCUUCAUAAGAUUUGGGAAGUCAGACCUCACAUCACUGGGAUACUGGUCAGAGGACAGCCCUUGGAUGUCUUCUAGAGUCUCCAUUCCCUCCUUCGCAUGAGUCCUUUCUGUGAUUAGGGUAUGGCAGCAACAACCAAGAUGGGGGCUCUGAAAGGAGGGCAAGGGUUCAGGGGAGGAGAGCAUGGCCCCACAUGGAAUGCUGCCCUUGGUCACCCCAGCCCUCUCUCAAUUUCCCUCACAACCCACCAUCAGGAGCCUCAGAGUAGGCCAGCGUUUGAAACAAGUUUUCAGUGCCGCAAAAGAAACAGCACUCAAACAGAAAUUUUUUUCUCAGCAAGGCAAAUUUACUUCUGCAGAAGGGUGCAGCUGGCGCCAGACAUGAUCACAAGAGCACACUGAGUAGGGUGGGGCAGGAGUUUUUAUCCCUAAUGCAGCAGCUUCUGUAGCUGUGUCCUUUCCCCAUUGGCUGGAGUUGGACUGCACAAUCUAAGCUGAGACCUGACUGGCUACUGUUUAAAAUUGAACAGGGCUAACUAGGCAGGAAGGGAGAGGCUGUCCCUUACAAUUUUAGGGUGCAGUAAAGGCAGAAAGGAUAGUUGCAGAGUAGGGAAUAGAUGUGAGUUAUAGAUUAGGACUGAUGGGAAGAUUGUUUACCAUAAUUAGAGGCAAGGGGGCAUAAAGAACGAGGAAGUUACUCUUUGAAAAUAGAGAACAAAGAACAAGGAAGCUGAACAAGCUGACUCUUCUUUGAAGAGGAACCCACCGUACCCAACACCAGAAAGACUAUAACCUUGCUUUGAAGGCUGGGAGUCCAAGAUCCAGGUGUCAGCAGUGUUGGUAUCUCCUGUGGCCACUCUCCUGGGCUUGCAGACGGCGUCUUCUCCCUGUGUCCCCACAUGACCACCCUUCUCCACCUUAGCAUCCCCGGUGUCUCUGUGUGUCCGGAUGUCCUUUUCUCAUGAGGACCAGAGAGAGAAGCAUCCCUGCUGAUGAGAAAGAACAGACACUCCCAGAGGACAAGGUCCACCUGUCAGGCAGCCACAGCCCAGCAUACUCUGGAGUCUGAGGUGGGGGUCAGUUGUGAAGAAAGGGAAGAAGGAAGAAAAAGGAUACGUUGUGCUCCGACCACAGGCCAAGGUCAGAAGACGGUAUUUACCAAGUCUCUUCCCAAAAUACUUGCAAAUGCACAUAAUCUCAAAGUGUUUUUGAGGGCUCUUCCGAUCUAAAAUUGGUCCUAGUGACAAGGGGUGUUUGGGGAAAUCAAAGGGCUGGCUUAACUAUGUAGACCUAGGUCUGGUCUUAUUUCUGGCCCAUACGAUCAUCAUGACCUUGGACAAAUGAAACUUCCUGGGCCUCAAGUUCCUUGUAUCAGAAAGGAUGGCAUUCAGCUGCGUACAACAGAAAACCAAAUCACAGUGGCUUAUCCAAGAAAAGUUCAAUUUUUCUCAAAACUACAGCGUCCUGGGCUGAUGCGGCAGCCCCAGGACGACCUCAGCAUCUCACUCCUCCUUUCUUUACUCGGCCCCAUCCUCAGGCUGUGACUUUCAUCCUCAGGUUUGUCAUCUUUUGGUGGUAAGAUGGUUGCUCUACCUCAAGCUCACAAAAAGAAAUGGGGGAAAGCAGGAAAGAAGAAAAUCUGCUUCCCCAGAGACUCUGAGGCUGCACUUGCACAUCUUAUGGAUCCAAACUGUGUCCCAUGGCUGCCCCUAGAUGCAAGGGGCCUGGGGAAAUGAGCGGAUUCAUCAGGUACACUGCAACCGUACAUGAAAGGAAAGUUCUGUCAAUAAAGAAGAGCGAAAUCUACAUUUGGUCAGGAAACAGCAUUGCCUGCAAUAUGCCUCAUAUGAAAUAAAGCCUUUCUUGCCCCCAUUCUGCUACUCGGUCAUUCUUGCACUCAACAAAUAGAUGUUGAGUGCCCACUCUCUCCAGGCCAUGUUCUAGGUGCUGCGGAUGCAAUCCUGAAUCUAUGAACACGAUUGGCAGAACAAUAAAUAUUGAUUGUCUUGGCCACUCACCAAAUAAAGUGCUCCUGGGAAGGCUGAGAUCUAAUGCAAAGCAGCAGCUUGACUUUCUCACUCCCUGGCAACAAUGCCAAGCAAGAGAAAGCGAUGGGUAAGGCCUGGCUCAAGAGUCUCACUGCAACCUGCACUGUAGAUUCUACCUGCUAAUUUCCUCAGCCUUCUCUGGUUUUGGGCUUCAGAAUGCCCUAACUCUGGGCCCGGCGCGGUGGCUCACGCCUGUAAACCCAUCACUUUGGGAGGCCAAGGCGGGUGGAUCACAAGAUCAAGACCAUCCUGGCCAACAUGGUGAAACCCUGUCUCUACUGAAAAUACAAAAAUUAGCUGGGCAUGGUGGCUUGUGCUUGUAAUCCAGCUACUUGGAAGGCUGAGGCUGGAGGAUCGCUUGAACCCAGAAGGCAGAGGUUGCAGUGAGCUGAGAUCACACCACUGCACUCCAGCCUGGCAACAGAGUGAGACUCUGUCUCAAAAAAAAAAAAAAAAAAAAAAAGAAUGCCCUAAGUCUACUCUGGACCAUGAGCAAGGAUAAUCUGUCUUAGAGGAGAGAAGGUGAGGUUAUGAUUCCAGAGCAUUUGGUGACCCAGGAAGUAGACCUGCCUCCUCCUAUCUGUCCACAGAGCAGUCCUAGGGGCAAUAGGCCAUGAGAAGAUCAUGCCAGGCAGUCCAUUUCUAUAUUACCAUGUAAACAAAAACUCAGCUGUGAACCCUGGAACGUUCGUAUUCUGCAGCUGCCAGUGUAAACUGGUACAGGCCUCUUGAAGAACAGUGGGGAAAGGCACUCUGAAAGCAUCCACGCCUCCAUACCUGCUGAUCCAGGGCUCUGAUUUUCCUUCUGGGAACCAAGCCUAGGAGAAUGAUUCAAGCUGCAGAAAACCUUUCUCCACUAAGAUGUUUGCUGUGGCAUUCAGUAUAAUAGCACACCAGAGAAACAAUCUAAAGAUUCAUCAGUAGGAGAAUAUCUAAGUAAAUUAUGGUACAUACACUCAAUAAAAUGUUAUAUGACUACUAAUUAUGGUGGUUACAAAGACUAUCUCUUUAAGAAAAAUGCUUCUGUGAAUGGUUAAGUGAAAAUUGCAAGAUACGGGCUGGGUGCAGUGGCUCACACCGGGUGCAGAGUCUCACUCUGUUG